rnacentral:tRNA from 4 species
GCCCCUGUGGUGAAAUGGAUAUCAUUUUUGGCUUCGGACCAAAAGUUUCGGGUUCGAGUCCUGACAGGGGUA